UCCUGUCUGAAUAUGGGGGGACCAUCCUCCAAGGCUAAAUACUCCUGACUGACCGAUAGUGAACCAGUACCGUGAGGGAAAGGCGAAAAGAACCCCGGCGAGGGGAGUGAAAAAGAACCUGAAACCGUGUACGUACAAGCAGUGGGAGCCCCACCACUAAGCCAGUGGUGAACUCCACAUACGCAUCCUUUGCUGAGGAUACGGUUAACGGAGCGAAAGCGACGUUCAACCUCAAAAGAAGCAGAGGGGGCUUAGUGGUGGGGUGACUGCGUACCUUUUGUAUAAUGGGUCAGCGACUUAUAUUCUGUAGCAAGGUUAACCGAAUAGGGGAGCCGUAGGGAAACCGAGUCUUAAUUGGGCGUUAAGUUGCAGGGUAUAGACCCGAAACCCGGUGAUCUAGCCAUGGGCAGGUUGAAGGUUGGGUAACACUAACUGGAGGACCGAACCGACUAAUGUUGAAAAAUUAGCGGAUGACCUGUGGCUGG
rnacentral:rRNA from 1 species